UAUAUUGUCUCUUUAUAAGAUCCUUUGUUUUGCAUUGCAGUUUUGUGCAACGAUAUACUUGUAAUUUAAUUUUCAUAGGGCCAUAUACAACCUCGACACUGUUUUGGUAGUAAAUGUAUUAACAUUGUCCAAGGAACUUGUGGACCUAAUAAGAAACGUAGACACUGUAUUUCAUUCCACUCCAGUAGGGUCAUCCAAGUUGACCCUCAAUACAUUAUACAGAUUUGUGCCUUCUAUCCGUGAACAGUUGCAGCAAGCUUUCCAUCAGGCUAAGCACAUUGCUACCGUCGCCAAGAAACUCAAAGAAAGCCCGUGAUAUGAAUCUAACUCACUGAAACAAUGUCAAGCUAGAUACAAUUAGGUUACCUGUUACUAACUUCUGGUUGUAUGAAAAACAUUUAUUUUGAUAUAUAUGAAAUUUGCUCUUUUGCUAUUUGUGUA